rnacentral:lncRNA from 13 species
CCUGGAUCUUGGUCUUUUCUCUUAAGCUCUUCAACUGAUUGGAUGAGGCCCAAGCUAUAUUAUGGAAGCUAAUCUGUUUUGAAGUCUACAGAUUCAAAAGAGAAUGAAUUAAGACACAGAAAAGAACAGAGGGAAGAUCAUGUGAAAACCUGGAGAGAGAAUGUCCAUCUACACAUCAAGGAGAGAGGACUCAGAAGAAACCAAGCCUGUCAGCUUCUUGAACCUGGCCUUCUAGGCAAGUACACCUCACUCCCGAAUUAA